rnacentral:rRNA from 1 species
AACGAACGCUGGCGGAGUGCUUAAGACAUGCAAGUCGAACGAGAAGGUCACCUUCGGGUGGCGAGUACAGUGGCGCACGGGUGAGUAACGCGUGGAUAACCUGCCCUUAGGUCUGGGAUAACCCCGGGAAACUGGAGCUAAUACCAGAUAAGACCACGACGUCUUCGGGCGAUGUGGGAAAAGAUGGCCUCUCCUUGGAAGCUGUCGCCAAUUGAUGGGUCCGCGUACCAUUAGCUUGUUGGUGAGGUAACGGCUCACCAAGGCUUCGAUGGUUAGCUGGUCUGAGAGGAUGAUCAGCCACACUGGAACUGAGACACGGUCCAG